rnacentral:tRNA from 1 species
GCCGAAGUGGCGGAAUUGGCAGACGCGCACGUUUGAGGGGCGUGUGGGGCAACCCGUGCGGGUUCAAGUCCCGCCUUCGGCACCA